CCUAGGGGAGGCAGCAGUGGGGAAUAUUGGACAAUGGGCGAAAGCCUGAUCCAGCCAUGCCGCGUGUGUGAAGAAGGCCUUCGGGUUGUAAAGCACUUUCAGUGGGGAAGAAAGCCUUGGGGCUAAUACCCUCGAGGAAGGACAUCACCCACAGAAGAAGCACCGGCUAACUCCGUGCCAGCAGCCGCGGUAAUACGGAGGGUGCGAGCGUUAAUCGGAAUUACUGGGCGUAAAGCGCGCGUAGGCGGUCUGAUAAGCCGGUUGUGAAAGCCCCGGGCUCAACCUGGGAACGGCAUCCGGAACUGUCAGGCUAGAGUGCAGGAGAGGAAGGUAGAAUUCCCGGUGUAGCGGUGAAAUGCGUAGAGAUCGGGAGGAAUACCAGUGGCGAAGGCGGUCUUCUGGACUGACACUGACGCUGAGGUGCGAAAGCGUGGGUAGCAAACAGGAUUAGAUACCCGGGUAGUC
rnacentral:rRNA from 1 species